rnacentral:lncRNA from 1 species
GUCUGACUCAAUCGACAAGGAUGUUUGGGAUAGUCUACCCUACUCGUCAUCGAUCUGACUAUCUACCCGAGAGUUUUUGACAUGUCAAAAACAAUCGAGUAAGGACCGAGAAGCAAGUCACUCGAGAAGAGAUCGAUAAUUCGUCGAGUACCUGUCAAAUUGAUCGGGAAAGGAUCGUAUAGAGAUCGAGUUUGAUCGGAAUACAACAAAAUUUCCGAUCAAUACUCGAUCAUUUCGACCUUUGCUCGACUAAUGUCCGAUCAUUUCCAGAUUAACUCGACCAAUGUCCGAUCGCUUCCAGAUCACUGCGACUUCUAUAUUUAUUUUAGCCCAGACCAACUCGAC